AGGACGAACGCUGGCGGCGUGCUUAACACAUGCAAGUCGAGCGGUAAGGCCUUUCGGGGUACACGAGCGGCGAACGGGUGAGUAACACGUGGGUGAUCUGCCCUGCACUCUGGGAUAAGCCUGGGAAACUAGGUCUAAUACCGGAUAUGACCAUUGAUCGCAUGAUUUUUGGUGGAAAGAUUUAUCGGUGCAGGAUGGGCCCGCGGCCUAUCAGCUUGUUGGUGGGGUAAUGGCCUACCAAGGCGACGACGGGUA
rnacentral:rRNA from 1 species